CGGAGUCUCGCUCCGUCCCCCAGGCGGGAGUGCAGUGGCGCGAUCUCGGCUCACUGCAAGCUCCGCCUCCCGGGUUCACGCCAUCUUGCCACUAAACCUGAUUUACCAACAUAACCUGUUUCUGGCCAUGCUGUGAAUCUGCAUUCUUUACUGUGUCCUUGGGAUACUAGGAGGAACCAGAGGAGCAGAUCCUGCUAGGAGGCUAAGCAUGAAGAAGGAAUUCAAAGAAACCUUGUGGAGAACGAAGACACAGCAGGGAGUCUCUGAUCAAGUGCCACAUCUUUAGAGAAGCUUUUCCAAACAACCGCCUUCAAGCUCCAGAUAAUCCUCAGUGAGGUAUACUGUCCGCUCAAUAUCCAAGAGUCACCCUUCUACAAGGGACCUCUAGACUGCCCAUAAGUGAGACAUGACAGAGGUAAAGUCAUGCUCCUGUCUCCCUUGGACCUGGCUGGAAACUGCAUUCAUCAACCCAUGGAACCACCCCCCUGCCAUGAAAGCUAGCAAGAGGCCAAGACCCACAGAACAACCACCAUCAUCCCUCUGUCAGCAGGAAGCGGUUACAAAAGACUAACCUUUGCCCAUUUUCCCCAAAGAAUUGGGGUCUUGGAAUCUUGAGGGAGGAAAUGUUACAGUAGGUAGCUAGUCAGACAUGAGCAGAGCAGAAGAGGGCUUACACACACACACACACACACACACACACACACCCCACACACAAAGAAUCCUGGGCAACCAUCAGGCGAUUGUAAGGUGGUUGUUAACUGUGUCUCUAAAAUAACGAUUGGUCACAACCAGUGCAAUGGAAAGGCAGUCUCUCAAUAAACAGAAACACCUGGAGCUGAUGAUCAGCAGCUUCCUGAUCAGGUCUCAGAAGUUUGGCAAGCUGGCCUACACAUGCGCACUAAGAGGCAAAAUGGCACAGUUUAACUGGUAUAUGACUUCCAAUGGACAUUCAGCAUGUAAGGGAAAAAUGCCUCAAGUAAGCAUGCAUACAACUCCACUAAACACACUGUGCAUGCUCCCCUCUCAAGUGCUGGCAGGCCAGUGCACAUGGGGACAGCCCACCCCAAAGAAAGUCUCAAGGGUGUAGGGAUGCAAGACCCCGGGAAUAUGCCAAUGUAUUAAACCCUAAGUCAAAAGGUCAAAUCAUGCACUUGUCUUUCAAGUCACCCACUUGACCCUCUUCCAAGUGUACUUUCCUUCCUUUUGUUACUACUCUAAAGCUUUUUAAUAAAUUUUCACUUUUUGAAUUCUUGUCUGCAACUUAGACUAACCUUGCUUGUUUCUCUGAACCAACCAGUGAUCUCUGGCUCGACUCAGAAGCAACAAAUAGAUGGUAAAUUGUGAAGAGAGUAACUAUACACCACAUGGCUUGACAAUAUCCAAACAUCAUUCUUGUUCUACAAAAGUUACAAAUGGU
rnacentral:lncRNA from 10 species